CAAUACAGAUACAAAAAUCUUAAUACAAUUUUAAAAAAUCCCAGUUUUCCUAAUCGGUCUGUUUGCAUUCUCCAUUCCAUGCUGUCAUUCCUUUCAUAGCACUGGAUACAACACAGGACUGCUCUCAUUAAAAAUGUAACCACAGCCUGUGUUUACAGAUCUCAGCAACACUUUGGAAGACUCAGAGGAGCAGGAAGGAGCACUGGAGAACAAGAGAGCACUGGAGGCAGAGGAUUCAGGUGACAGUGAUGCUGAACUGGACAGUGAUGGACUCAAAGGAGAGCGGGAGUUGGGAGACAAUAUGAUGGAGAAAAGAGCUGACAUGGAUUCUGAAGUGGUCCUGACACAGUCCAUGGUAGUGAAGAAGGAUGCCCUGUCCAAAAGAUACUACAGAAGUAAGUGUGUGUCUCUCUGGAGCUGGCUCCUGGUUUGGGUGAACUGCAUGGAUUGUAGACUGAAGGUCAAUUGAUUGAAGACAUUGAGAAACACUUCAGUAUUACAACAUAUUCUACCAUGGAGUGGUUUCAUAGUUCUGGACAGACUGGAGGAAACACUUUGAAAUGUGCCCCUUGGUGUCUUCAUUAAGCCUGUAACAGCUAUCAAAAUCAACUGAUAUUCUCAGAGGAACAGAAAACAUUCCAGUAAAUGGAAC